CCUACGGGUGGCAGCAGUGAGGAAUAUUGGUCAAUGGACGAGAGUCUGAACCAGCCAAGUAGCGUGAAGGAUGACUGCCCUAUGGGUUGUAAACUUCUUUUAUAUGGGAAUAAAAUGUUCCACGUGUGGGAUUUUGUAUGUACCAUAUGAAUAAGGAUCGACUAACUCCGUGCCAGCAGCCGCGGUAAUACGGAGGAUCCGAGCGUUAUCCGGAUUUAUUGGGUUUAAAGGGAGCGUAGGUGGAUUGUUAAGUCAGUUGUGAAAGUUUGCGGCUCAACCGUAAAAUUGCAGUUGAUACUGGCAGUCUUGAGUACAGUAGAGGUGGGCGGAAUUCGUGGUGUAGCGGUGAAAUGCUUAGAUAUCACGAAGAACUCCGAUUGCGAAGGCAGUUCACUGGACUGCAACUGACACUGAGGCUCGAAAGUGUGGGUAUCAAACAGGAUUAGAUACCCCAGUAGUC
rnacentral:rRNA from 1 species